rnacentral:rRNA from 1 species
UACGAAGGGGGCUAGCGUUGCUCGGAAUCACUGGGCGUAAAGCGCACGUAGGCGGCUUUGCAAGUUAGAGGUGAAAGCCCGGAGCUCAACUCCGGAAUUGCCUUUAAAACUGCAUCGCUAGAAUUGUGGAGAGGUAAGUGGAAUUCCGAGUGUAGAGGUGAAAUUCGUAGAUAUUCGGAAGAACACCAGUGGCGAAGGCGACUUACUGGACACAUAUUGACGCUGAGGUGCGAAAGCGUGGGGAGCAAACAGG